UACGGAGGGGGCUAGCGUUGUUCGGAAUUACUGGGCGUAAAGCGCGCGUAGGCGGAUCUGCAAGUCGGGGGUGAAAUCCCGAGGCUCAACCUCGGAACUGCCUUCGAUACUGCGGGUCUCGAGUCCGGGAGAGGUGAGUGGAAUUCCUAGUGUAGAGGUGAAAUUCGUAGAUAUUAGGAAGAACGCCAGUGGCGAAGGCGGCUCACUGGCCCGGUACUGACGCUGAGGCGCGAAAGCGUGGGGAGCAAACAGG
rnacentral:rRNA from 1 species